rnacentral:rRNA from 1 species
ACUCAAAUGAAUUGACGGGGGCCCGCACAAGCAGUGGAGCAUGUGGUUCAAUUCGAUGCAACGCGAAGAACCUUACCUGGGCUUGAAAAGCAAGCUAAGGCGGGUGAAAGCCCGCGUCCCGCAAGGGGAGCUUGUACAGAUGCUGCAUGGCUGUCGUCAGCUCGUGCCGUGAGGUGUUGGGUUAAGUCCCGCAACGAGCGCAACCCUUGUUCUUAGUUGCCACCGGGUAAUGCCGAGCACUCUAAGGAGACUGCCUACGCAAGUAGUGAGGAAGGUGGGGAUGACGUCAAGUCCGCAUGGCUCUUACGCCCAGGGCCACACACGUGCUACAAUGGCAACUACAAAGGGCUGCAAAACCGCAAGGUGAAGCCAAUCCCUAAAAAGUUGUCUCAGUUCGGAUUGGAGUCUGAAACUCGACUCCAUGAAGCUGGAAUUGCUAGUAAUCGUGGAUCAGCACGCCACGGUGAAUACGUUCCCGGGCCUUGUACACACCGCCCGU